AGUGAACGCUGGCGGUAGGCCUAACACAUGCAAGUCGAACGGCAGCACAGAGGAGCUUGCUCCUUGGGUGGCGAGUGGCGGACGGGUGAGGAAUACAUCGGAAUCUACUCUGUCGUGGGGGAUAACGUAGGGAAACUUACGCUAAUACCGCAUACGACCUACGGGUGAAAGCAGGGGAUCUUCGGACCUUGCGCGAUUGAAUGAGUCGAUGUCGGAUUAGCUAGUUGGUGGGGUAAAGGCCCACCAAGGCGACGAUCCGUAGCUGGUCUGAGAGGAUGAUCAGCCACACUGGAACUGAGACACGGUCCAGACUCCUACGGGAGGCAGCAGUGGGGAAUAUUGGACAAUGGGCGCAAGCCUGAUCCAGCCAUACCGCGUGGGUGAAGAAGGCCUUCGGGUUGUAAAGCCCUUUUGUUGGGAAAGAAAUCCAUCUGGUUAAUACCCGGGUGGGGUGACGGUACCCAAAGAAUAAGCACCGGCUAACUUCGUGCCAGCCGCCGCAGUAA
rnacentral:rRNA from 1 species